UUGAAGUUUGAUUGUGUUGUUCAACAGGGUUAUCUUCUUGUUAACGGGACGCUGAGUUGGAUGUGUGUGAUUGUUGUCUAGGAAGCCCCUGUUCAAUUUCUGUGAAGAGGGCGUCUAUUUCUAAUGAGAGGUUGUCACUUUCUGUGGUCAUUUCAGUGGUAGUCCUUGUGUGAUCCAAGUUGAGUAGUAUCGUUGGCGAUGGAUGAUUCUUAGCCUUUGCUAAGUCUUUGAUAGAAACACAAUAGGCGGGAGCCAUUUCCAGUGUUGUGGAUUUCCUUGGGUUGCAAAAACCCCUUGUGAUGUCCAUACUUUAUGAAAGAAGGCUAUCAUGUUGUUUCGACGUUCUUCUGAGCGUUUGAACUUGAUGAUGCUGCACCAGACUUCGGAGCGGAUAUGAAUGACCGUCUUCCAAGUUUAGAAGAGGACUUUCUCGGGAGAGAAUGGAUUGCCACAGUUCUCCUGACCACAUUUCUGAACCCAAAUAUUCCAUUUCAAACUUACCCGUAAGAGAUCUCAAGGAGUGUUGUCGUUAACCAAGACUUUGUCCACUGAAUCCCAUGCAGAGGCUUCUUCAAUGUUGGUAUUGUUAUGUCUUGUUGGAAGUCCGAAUCUGAUGUUGGGCCAUGUGUUGUAUAUAUCAGCAAGGCCAUAAUUUCUUCUCAGUGCAAACAUUAGGCUCAAGAUUGGAGAAACACGAUUACAUUUGUAGAGCGUGUGUUCUAUGGUUUCUAUAUCACUAGAUGAGCAUAGUCCGCAGGUGCUUCUCCUAGCUGCUUUUGACCUCCAUUGUCCUAUAGGUAGUGCUCCUGCUAGGUGCAGCCACUGCAUUGCUGCAAGCUUACGCAGAAGCCAUGAAUGCCAUACUCGCCUUAUGAAAGAUUUCCUUUGCUGAUCGUUAUAAUUGAGGCUCGCCAGAUCGCUAAGACCAUUCAUGUGGGCUGCAGUCUUGUCAAGCCCUACCCUAUAGCUUCUUUUGUUUGUAUAUUGAUAGAAGUUGCAUUCUUUUAGUAUCCCCAAUCUUAGCCACUUCCAUUCUUUGGGAUCCCAGCCUAGCUAGUUGAUCGAGACUUGCCCAAAAAGCUAGAGUUUGGAGUCAUUUGUUAGCUCACAUAAAUUAAAUUCAAAUACAUCGUUCUUCUUACCAAAAGUGACCAGAAUACGAACAUGGUGUGGGAUGCCUUGUGGUAAUGGGUAUAGACCGAAGAGGUAAUUUAGAAUUUCUUCUGGUUCAAGGACUUGAUACUUGUUACGUAGCCACCUGGUCAUUUUGAAUCGUCUAAGGUGGUAAACGAUUGAAAUCUUCGAUGUCUGUAAUGAGACCCAAUCUCCUAUAGCUAGCGGUGUCGCACUAGGAGGUGUCCAUGGGGAUUGCCUGUUUCAAAGUUGCCCAUUGGGUAGACAUCGUUCGUGAUCGUAUAAUCGAUUUUAUAAAAGAAUUUGUAUGCCAUAGACCCGAGGGUUGGUGAAAGACAUCUUUAAUUUGGAAUAGAUUCUUGUGUACUCAAUUUGAGAAAGAUGAAGUGGGUUUGAUACCGAAUUGGACUCUUGAUGUUUGUGUGAUCAAGCGAUUGCCGAAAAGAGGUUGUCUCAGCAUUUUGGUUGGAUGUUCUAGUGGCUGCUGUUGGAGCCCUGAUUUUGUCUCCGUCCAAACUUGAAACAUUGCUCACCAUAUUGGAGGGGAGCCUCUAGGAUGUGUGCGGCCUGCCAUCAUCUAGUGGAUAUGCCGGGGCCAUCUACCAGCUAUUAUGGAUUUAGUUCGGGCUGGGUGAUGGUGAGCGAAGAGCUUCCAAAGUUCAUAUCUAGGUUUCAUGCUAUGUAUAACCAGUUUCAUUAAGAGUGCUUGUGUUUGUAAUCGUGGAUCAAGAACUUUGACUCCACCAUAAUCAAUGAGCUGGAUUACUGUUGACCAUUUGAUCUUGGCUCUCGUUGUACAACCUGACUUUGCCUCCCAUAUGUAGUUACGUAGUAGAGCUCUAGUUUGUUUAAAGAUUGGAUUAGUGAUCGCUGCACAAGAGCAGAGGUACCAUAUGAUCGCUAAGAUUGUUUGAUUUGCUGUCAUUAUUCUACUUGCUAGGAAAAGUCCGUGUGUUCCCCAAACUGUGAGGCCUUUGGUUAUUCUUUGAAUAACUUUGUUGGCAAUAUCCUCUGCAGGUAGCAUAGAUCCUAUGGAAAAGCCUAGGUAUCUUAUCGAAGUGCCUUGAGGGAGCCACUUCAGACCAGGGUUCCUUGUCCAUUGCCAAGUACGCGGGUGAGGUGAUGCCCAAAUUCCAACGGACUUUCUCCAAUUGAGCUUUGCACCACUUUCAACACAGUAGAGUGUAAGAAUAUUCAUAGCUGUAUUUAAAUUGGCUUCAUUUCCUUGAAUGUAAAGUGCUGUAUCAUCUGCAUACAUUUGAUUAUUGGUUGUUCUGCCAUCUGGGAGGGUUAAGCCCUUUAAGAGUUUGUUGGGAUCGUCUAGCAUGUGUCCUAGAACAUCCCCUGCUAGUAAGUAUAAGUAUGGGGCUAGGGGGCAGCCUUGUCUCACCGAUCUCUGUAGGGAGAAUUGUUCUACGGGGUAUUCAUUGAGCAAAACUCUUGCUGAUGCAUCAUUGCAUAGAGACAUGACCAGGUCAAUCCACUCUUGUGGGAAGCCUAUGUGUAGCAUUGUUUGCUGCAAAAAUGUCCAGCUCACCCUAUCAUAUGCUUUUUCCAAGUCCAGGAGAAGGAUGAUGAGAGGUUGGUUGCUUUCUACAGCCCAAUCCAUAGCUGAUUGGGCCAUAAAGAUGUUGUCAAAGAUGCAUCUCCCAGGGACAAAGGCAGUUUGACUGUUUCGGAUCCAAGAAGGUAAAAACGGAAUCAUACGGUUUGCUAGAAUUUUAGCUAUGAUUUUAUAAACUGACCCUAGGAUUGAUACGGGUCUGAAAUUUGUGAGAAAAGCAAGUUCUCCUCCCUUUGGAAGGAGUGAUAUCUUGCUGGUAUUGGGGGUGCGACAUAGGAUUUUCGUCUCAGAAACCUCCUUGUCCAUGCAAAGAAGGUCCUCGCUAGUUUCCUCUAAGGGAACCUUGAAGAAUUCCAUGAGUAUAUCGUCGAUACCUGGAGACUUUCCGUUAGGUAGGGCUUUGACGGCAUCCACUAUUUCCUGGGUGGUGGAGGUUUCAUUAGUUUUCUGCCUUGUUCUUCUGUCACGCAAGUAGGUACGCUGGCGAAGCAAUUCAUUCUUGCUUGAUCCGCUGCUUCAACUGUCUCGUCUCUUGAGUAAAGUUGCUUAUAGUAGUUAUCCACGUACUGUUGCAUCUCUUUUUGUUCAGUGAGUACUUGAUCAUUGUUGAUGAGCUCUCUGAUGGGUGUAGAUUUUUGGGGUCCGUUGCAGAAUUCAAAAAAUUCCUUGUUACAUUUAUCUCCGAUCCGUGUCCACUCCGACAUGUGACGAUCAUGUUUCGCUUCUAGGGUCUGUUGUCUUCGUAUAUGUAAGGUAGUUUGUGCUUGGUUCAGUUGGUCACGAGACAGUUGGUCGUUCCAGUUCGCAUGGAGUGCAAUUUCAGCUUCAAAGAUUGGCUGGAAUUGAGCUGUAUAAGUGUCUUGUUUCUUUGGCCUUGUGUGCCGCUAGCUUACGGUCACUAUAUUGUUUGAUGAGUUUCAAACUUUCUGCAAAUCUUGCGUUUCAAGACCUAUCGGGGUGUGCUUCAAUGGCAGUUUGCCAUUCAGCUAGUAGCAAUGUUCUCUCUGUCUCAUCCGUUAAUAGAAAGAUGUAGAAGACUGGCAUUGGUUUCCGUUUCUGUCCACGCAGUUGAAUGUGCACAAUUACAGGCGCGUGAUCGGAGACAUGGGCCAGUGUGGGCCAUAUUGCUGUUUGUCCGCCUAUGCGAAUCAACUGUUGAUUGAGGUAUAGUCGAUCUAGGCGUGAGCAAAUCAUGUCGGGGGCUGCUCUUCUGUUGUCCCAUGAGAAGGUUUUCGGUGUUAGUUUUCUAAACUCAUCGGCACUGAAGCAGUUCGAUAUUCCGAGGUGUAUUUGAAGUUCUCCCCAUGUGAGUUCACACGGGCCCUUACCCGUUGAUGGUUGACUUCCUAGUUUAUCACUAAGCUGGUAUAUUAUAUUAAAAUCACCUCCAAGUAACCAGUUAGCCUGUGGUAGUGGGAAGGUUUUGAUUUUGUUCCAGAGGCGUGCCCUAGAACCUGUGUAAUUGAAGGCAUAAACAUUUAUGAUCCCUAUCUUGAUUUGCGGUGUCCACUGGAGGGUUACGUAUUGUGCUCGUCCUCUCAUGAUUAUCCCAUGUUCUGUAAUGAAGUUGGAAAAUCUGUUCGAUAUCAGUAUUCCAGUACCUCCCUUGAAGCUAUCGGUGUUUGCACUAAAUGCGGCUUCAUUCCAAAGAGAUACACCUUUGCUAAAUUCUAUUUGUUUGGCAUGUUUUAUGCAUUCCGCUAAAGCUGAGAUUCCUAACCAUGUAG
rnacentral:lncRNA from 1 species